AAUAGGUCUACUAUAUUUGUUGUAUGGAAUGAUUGUUAAGUGUACAUGUCUAGCGGGCAGAUGUCAUGUGACCUUGACCUCAUUUUCAUGGUUCAGUGGUCAAAGUUAAGUUUUUGAGUUUUGGUAUUUUUAUCUAAUGCUAUAUGCCAUAGGUCAACUAUAUUUGGUAUAUGGAAAUAUUUUAUGAUCUUUAUGUCAGUCGAGCAGGUUUUAUUUAACUGUGACCUCAUUUUCACGGUUCAUUGCACAGUGUUAAGUUUUUGUGUUUUGGUCUAUUUUUCUUAAACUAUAAGUAAUGUGUCAACUAUAUAUGUUGUAUAGAAGCAUUGUUAGCUGUACCUGUCUGCCUGGCAUGGUUCAUCUGACUUGGACCUCUUUUUCAAGGUUCAUUGGUCUUUGUUUAGUUAUCUUGGUUAAUGUUAAGUUUAU
rnacentral:lncRNA from 1 species